ACAAAGUGUGACGAUGUUGUCUCUGUUGUAGAUAAAAUGUCUAUGGGCCCUGUGAGCAGUCACGACCAUGUGGAUGCAGGGAAUACUGUGCCCGACAGUCUGUACAGGAAUGGGAAGACCUCAGACAAUGAUGAAUCUGACACGUACCAUGUGUACUGCUCCAUCCCUGACAGCCCCACCGCAGCAGCCCAGGCAGACACGCUCUACAGUUUUCUGCAGCCACAUCAUUGAAAUCACAGGGUAUAGAAGGACCUGUCAGAUCAUUAGAAACUCAUUUUUCGAUUUCCAAUUUGAGAAUGACCUCACCAAACCUUUGUUCGAUUGCAGAGUAGGCUGUUAGCCUUGCCUUUCUACAAACUGUACAGAGCUAUGAUGAACAAGCCAUGUCACCUGAUGGAAUAGUAUUUGUGUGGAGGUAUUUGUAAUAUUUUAAGUAUUAAGAUUUAAUUGCCUGUGUGGUUUGCGGGUGGGUGUUGUAGAGACUGCCUCUGAUAAUUCCUGACAAUUUCAACACUAGGGAGUGGACACCACAAACCUCUGGGGGUACAGCUGGUGACCAGAACCCAUCUAUAUCCCCUUACUUAUAGCAACAAGGAGGGGUCCCACACACAGACUGUGGUCCCACACAAAUCUAGUAUGUCAAGGUUCUCAGCUGUCUCUCAGGAAAAUGAUUGGUCUAGUAUGAUGGGUGCUGAUGACAUCACAGACCUGUAAGCUGUAGAAGCUUCAAACAAAACCAUCUCUUUUCAAUGUUUAUUUGUAUUUUCACCAUUUAUUUGUCUGCAGUCAUGGCUUAAACCUCUACCACUCCAUUACAGGGUUGACUAAGGCACAGCACCACGUAUCAAUAUAUAUAGAUUGUAUUUGAAUAAAGUCAUGCAUGUAAUUUGUGCUAUAUCAAUUUGAAAAAUAUGAUCUGUUGCUUUGUUUUUUCAGCUUAGCUUCAAGUGUGCACAGAUCUGUUUACUUGUAAUGUAUGAUCAUAUUUACAAAGUACAGAAAGUAACUAGCAAGAAACACAAGAUGUAUGACGUAGGCCAAUGGAAUCUUACAGAUAACUCCUCAAUUACUACUGACUGUUUCAUUAAAAUAUGCAUGCUUAAACCUAUUUCUUUUGGCUACUCACUGAUGAUUCUAUAUUUUGAAUAAACUUUAGAAAAAUCUUAUGAAUGCCUAUGCCUACAUAUUUGUCUAUUUUAUUUUUCGACAAAAGCACUAGCAAUUUAAUCC